UGCAAGUCGCACGAAGGUUUCGGCCUUAGUGGCGGACGGGUGAGUAACGCGUAGGGAUCUAUCCACGGGUGGGGGACAACUUCGGGAAACUGGAGCUAAUACCGCAUGAUACCUGAGGGUCAAAGGCGCAAGUCGCCUGUGGAGGAACCUGCGUUCGAUUAGCUAGUUGGUGGGGUAAAGGCCUACCAAGGCGAUGAUCGAUAGCUGGUUUGAGAGGAUGAUCAGCCACACUGGGACUGAGACACGGCCCAGACCCCUACGGGAGGCAGCAGUGGGGAAUAUUGGACAAUGGGGGAAACCCUGAUCCAGCAAUGCCGCGUGUGUGAAGAAGGUCUUCGGAUUGUAAAGCACUUUCGACGGGGACGAUGAUGACGGUACCCGUAGAAGAAGCCCCGGCUAACUUCGUGCCAGCAGCCGCGGUAAUACGAAGGGGGCUAGCGUUGCUCGGAAUGACUGGGCGUAAAGGGCGCGUAGGCGGUUUGGACAGUCAGAUGUGAAAUCCCCGGGCUUAACCUGGGAACUGCAUUUGAUACGUCCAGACUAGAGUUCGAGAGAGGGUUGUGGAAUUCCCAGUGUAGAGGUGAAAUUCGUAGAUAUUGGGAAGAACACCGGUGGCGAAGGCGGCAACCUGGCUCGAUACUGACGCUGAGGCGCGAAAGCGUGGGGAGCAAACAGGAUUAGAUACCCUGGUAGUCCACGCUGUAAACGAUGUGUGCUGGAUGUUGGGUAACUUAGUUACUCAGUGUCGAAGCUAACGCGCUAAGCACACCGCCUGGGGAGUACGGCCGCA
rnacentral:rRNA from 1 species